AAUAAAAUGAAAUUAUCAACAAGAGGACUUUAAACGAACAGCAAACCUGGUUUUCUUAACUGAUUUUCAUCAUUGUUAAAAGCAAUCAAGGGCAAUAACUCAUGUUCAGCAUAAGUUGUAACUGCAUGUUAUCACCAGAAACAACAUAUUCAUAUUUUAAAACAAGAAUGUGUCCAUAGUACACGGAUGCCCUACUCGUACUAUCAUUUUCUAUGUUCAGUGGACUGUGAAAUUGGGGUCAAAUCUUUAAUUUGGAAUUAAAAUUAGAAAGAUCAUAUCAUAGGGAACAUGUGUAAUUAGUUUCAAGUUGAUUGGACUUCAACUUCUUCAAAAACUACCUUGACCAAAAACUUUAACCUGAAGCCAACGGACGCACGGACGGACGCACGGACGGACGGUGGCACAGACCAGAAAACAUAAUGUCCCUCCACUAUCUUAGGUGGGGCAUAAAAAUUGGUUGAAUAGUUUUCAAGUUUUCACACUGAAACUGUAUAAGUAAAACGAGCACUUGGUCUUUUUGGUACUAAUCAAUAUAGUGAUUAAACAAAAUCAUGGCAGGUUGAAUUUUUCUUGAAAUUUUUUUAUAACAUUCUCUAUCUUAACAGGAAUUUGAUGUACAGUAGUUGUCGUUUGUUUAUGUAAUUUAUACGUGUUUCCCUUUUUUUAUAUAGAUUAGACCAUUGGUUUUCCCGUUUGAAUGGUUUUACACUAUUAAUUUUGGGGCCCUUUAUAGCUUGUUGUUUGUUGUGAGCCAAGGCCGUACCUUGAUCUAUAAUGGUUUACGUUUAUAAAUUGUUAUUUGGAUGGAGAGUUGUCUCAUUGGCACUCAUACCACAUCUUCCUAUAUCUAUUGAAGUAGUAUAUAGUUGAUUGCAAAAGUAAAAAUGUGGGUCCAGGUGUUUCAAUAGAAAAAAAGAAAACAUAGCUUUUAAAAUGCUAGAGAUCCCAUUUCCCUAUUUUUGCGCUAAAUCAUGUAACAGUGUUUUCUUAAUGCAAUAUCUUCUUAUA
rnacentral:lncRNA from 1 species